rnacentral:rRNA from 1 species
UUAAGCAUAUCAAUAAGCGGAGGAAAAGAAACCAACAGGGAUUGCCCCAGUAACGGCGAGUGAAGCGGCAACAGCUCAAAUUUGAAAUCUGGCCUCCGCCCGAGUUGUAAUUUGCAGAGGAUGUUUCUGGCGCGGUGCCUUCUGAGUUCCCUGGAACGGGACGCCAUAGAGGGUGAGAGCCCCGUACGGUUGGACGCCUAGCCUGUGUGAAACUCCUUCGACGAGUCGAGUAGUUUGGGAAUGCUGCUCAAAAUGGGAGGUAUAUCUCUUCUAAAGCUAAAUACCGGCCAGAGACCGAUAGCGCACAAGUAGAGUGAUCGAAAGAUGAAAAGCACCUUGAAAAGGGGGUUAAACAGCACGUGAAAUUGUUGAAAGGGAAGCGCCCAUGACCAGACUUGUGCCCGGCGGAUCACCCAGCGUUCUCGCUGGGGCACUCCGCCGGGUCCAGGCCAGCAUCGGUUUUCGCCGGGGGAUAAAGGCUCUGGGAACGUAGCUCCUCCGGGAGUGUUAUAGCCCUCUGCGUAAUACCCUGGCGGGGACCGAGGUACGCGCUCCGCAAGGAUGCUGGCGUAAUGGUCAUCAGCGACCCGUCUUGAAACACGGAUCAAGGAGUCGUCCAUUAGAGCGAGCGUUUGGGUGUCAAACCCGCACGCGUAAUGAAAGUGAACGUAGGUGAGAGCUUCGGCGCAUCAUCGACCGAUCCUGAUGUCCUCGGAUGGAUUUGAGUAUGAGUUUUACUGGACGGACCCGAAAGAUGGUGAACUAUGCCUGUAUAGGGUGAAGCCAGAGGAAACUCUGGUGGAGGCUCGCAGCGGUUCUGACGUGCAAAUCGAUCGUCAAAUAUGGGCAUGGGGGCGAAAGACUAAUCGAACCAUCUAGUAGCUGGUUACCGCCGAAGUU